UGUUAUACGUGUUUUGAAAGCGUAAACAUCCUGUAAGCGCACAAGGCGAGACUUGUGAAACUUUCACUUGAUCAUUACAUUUCGAAGCGGUGAGGUUGGUGCUAUCAUCCUCCAUAAGGAUUACAAUGGAAGCUCGUAAUGAACGCAAACGUAGAUGUGUUGACACGUUGGGGGAUGUGCAGCCGUCGGAAGAUCUUAUUUUAAACCUUGCUCCCGAGGAAGGCGAAACCUCCCGCAAAAAACUCAAAAAAAUUAAAAUAUACAUUGGAAAAAAUGUUUCAAUAGAAACUUGUGACUUCAAAAAUGUCAAUUAUGUUUCAUUUGUAAGGGUGUAUCCCGAAACCGCCGCCACCCCCAAAAGAUUUAAUAUAAAUAUGAAUUGUAUUGAUCGUAUAAUCGAAGCUUUGGGGGUGAUUAAGAGUCACUGUAUGUAAAAUUAAAAAAAAAAAA